rnacentral:sRNA from 1 species
UGGCCUGGAUGCUGUUGUAUUCGAAGGACGCAAUGGAAUCGGAGGGCAGUGGCGCUAUGAAGACCCGGGCCCGGAAACGGACGAUGCCGUAUCCUCCAUCUAUGAAGGAGUGAUUCUAAACUCGGCCCGUGAUACAUCGUGUUAUAGCGAUUUCCCCAUUGAUCCUGCGCAAUAUCCGACAUAUUUCAGCCAUCGCAGGAUGCUAAAUUACCUAGAGGACUACGCCAGCCACUUUGGACUGGGAAAGUAUAUACAAUUGAAUACCAAAGUGCUCUCCUGCAACCAACUCCCAGACGGGAGGUGGACUGUGGUGCAUGAGGAAAAGGG